GUACCCUAGUCAACAUGUCUAUUGUUCAGAGCAGAGCUUGUCCAGCUCAGGUCAGUCUCGACAGGAGAAAGAUCCUGAUGGCCUCGAGCAGGAGCAGGACUCCACGCAAAACAAGGUGGUGGAAGAAUGGAAGACACACACAUCAUACGAUAUGGGGCUAGAGACAGAGAGAGCAGCACGAGAGAAACUACAAAAACAGAGCAUACACCAUGAAGAGGUAAAAAGACACAUCAGUUAUUGGAAGUUUUCCAGCUUAUCGCUCACAAAGUUAAAAGUUACAGUGAACAGGAUACUAAGGCAGGCUUUAAAAAAAUUAGUGUCAAUAAAAAAGGGAAAUUGAGGUUGUAAAUACCUUAAAGGCGGAGUGUGAGGCAGAGCUCAGCUUUUAACUUUGCACAAUAAACUCUUAAGAGUAUAUUGUAUAAGUGGGACACAAAUACAUGAACUGGAAAAGGAAAAUGAUGACUAAUGUCGAUCUUAAUCUGAUGGCACUGAUCUAGGUGAGCAGUUAAAUUGCCUCAGAAAUGUACUUUUUCUUCUGUUACCAGACUGUGAAGCCACAAGAAGCUGGAGAGGAGGAGACAAAGCUAGACCCAGAGUCAGAUACUGUACCUGUUGCCCCUGAGCCAGAACCUACCCCAGAUCCCCAGGCUGAGUUGGGCCUGCAGAUUCACACACAGGACCACGACCAUGAUGCCCCAGUGCUCGCCACUCCAGAACCAGUUCCAGCACAGGGCCAAGUGACCACAGAUACCCCAGCAGAGACUUCAAGUGAACCAAUUCCCAGUCUAGACUCAAACCCAGACACAUCCCCCGAUGAAGCUGAAAACAAACCUACCUCACAGAGUGCUGGGCCGACCCACACAGGUGCAGUGCGGGUUGCCAGUGCAGGAGAUGAAUUCCCAGUAGACAGCUUUGUCUUUGCUGAGCACUCUGAUUCACAGUGCGGGGUCAUUCCCCCCGAACUGGCAACCUGUGAAAGCUCCCCUUUUGGCAGCCCUCUCCUCAGGUGA
rnacentral:lncRNA from 1 species